CAGCCGCCGCGGUAAAACGUAGGGUGCAAGCGUUAAUCGGAAUUACUGGGCGUAAAGCGUGCGCAGGCGGUUAUAUAAGACAGAUGUGAAAUCCCCGGGCUCAACCUGGGAACUGCAUUUGUGACUGUAUAGCUAGAGUACGGCAGAGGGGGAUGGAAUUCCGCGUGUAGCAGUGAAAUGCGUAGAUAUGCGGAGGAACACCGAUGGCGAAGGCAAUCCCCUGGGCCUGUACUGACGCUCAUGCACGAAAGCGUGGAGAGCAAACAGGAUUAGAUACCCCAGUAGUCCCUGUCUCUUAUAC
rnacentral:rRNA from 1 species